rnacentral:rRNA from 6 species
ACUUAAAUUGAAGAGUUUGAUCAUGGCUCAGAUUGAACGCUGGCGGCAGGCCUAACACAUGCAAGUCGAGCGGUAGCACAGAGAGCUUGCUCUCGGGUGACGAGCGGCGGACGGGUGAGUAAUGUCUGGGAAACUGCCUGAUGGAGGGGGAUAACUACUGGAAACGGUAGCUAAUACCGCAUAAUGUCGCAAGACCAAAGUGGGGGACCUUCGGGCCUCAUGCCAUCAGAUGUGCCCAGAUGGGAUUAGCUUGUAGGUGGGGUAACGGCUCACCUAGGCGACGAUCCCUAGCUGGUCUGAGAGGAUGACCAGCCACACUGGAACUGAGACACGGUCCAGACUCCUACGGGAGGCAGCAGUGGGGAAUAUUGCACAAUGGGCGCAAGCCUGAUGCAGCCAUGCCGCGUGUGUGAAGAAGGCCUUCGGGUUGUAAAGCACUUUCAGCGGGGAGGAAGGCGGUGAGGUUAAUAACCUCAUCGAUUGACGUUACCCGCAGAAGAAGCACCGGCUAACUCCGUGCCAGCAGCCGCGGUAAUACGGAGGGUGCAAGCGUUAAUCGGAAUUACUGGGCGUAAAGCGCACGCAGGCGGUCUGUCAAGUCGGAUGUGAAAUCCCCGGGCUCAACCUGGGAACUGCAUUCGAAACUGGCAGGCUAGAGUCUUGUAGAGGGGGGUAGAAUUCCAGGUGUAGCGGUGAAAUGCGUAGAGAUCUGGAGGAAUACCGGUGGCGAAGGCGGCCCCCUGGACAAAGACUGACGCUCAGGUGCGAAAGCGUGGGGAGCAAACAGGAUUAGAUACCCUGGUAGUCCACGCCGUAAACGAUGUCGAUUUGGAGGUUGUGCCCUUGAGGCGUGGCUUCCGGAGCUAACGCGUUAAAUCGACCGCCUGGGGAGUACGGCCGCAAGGUUAAAACUCAAAUGAAUUGACGGGGGCCCGCACAAGCGGUGGAGCAUGUGGUUUAAUUCGAUGCAACGCGAAGAACCUUACCUGGUCUUGACAUCCACAGAACUUUCCAGAGAUGGAUUGGUGCCUUCGGGAACUGUGAGACAGGUGCUGCAUGGCUGUCGUCAGCUCGUGUUGUGAAAUGUUGGGUUAAGUCCCGCAACGAGCGCAACCCUUAUCCUUUGUUGCCAGCGGUCCGGCCGGGAACUCAAAGGAGACUGCCAGUGAUAAACUGGAGGAAGGUGGGGAUGACGUCAAGUCAUCAUGGCCCUUACGACCAGGGCUACACACGUGCUACAAUGGCAUAUACAAAGAGAAGCGACCUCGCGAGAGCAAGCGGACCUCAUAAAGUAUGUCGUAGUCCGGAUUGGAGUCUGCAACUCGACUCCAUGAAGUCGGAAUCGCUAGUAAUCGUAGAUCAGAAUGCUACGGUGAAUACGUUCCCGGGCCUUGUACACACCGCCCGUCACACCAUGGGAGUGGGUUGCAAAAGAAGUAGGUAGCUUAACCUUCGGGAGGGCGCUUACCACUUUGUGAUUCAUGACUGGGGUGAAGUCGUAACAAGGUAACCGUAGGGGAACCUGCGGUUGGAUCACCUCCUUACCUUAAAGAA